GCCCUUCGGGGAAUUCCGAGACAGGUGCUGCAUGGCUGUCGUCAGCUCGUGCCGUGAGGUGUUGGGUUAAGUCCCGCAACGAGCGCAACCCUAUUGCCAGUUGCUACCAGGUAAUGCUGGGCACUCUGGUGAGACUGCCCGUUAACGGGGAGGAAGGUGGGGACGACGUCAAGUCAUCAUGGCCCUUACGCCUAGGGCUACACACGUACUACAAUGGCGCAUACAAAGGGCAGCGAUACCGCGAGGUGGAGCCAAUCCCAAAAAGUGCGUCCCAGUCCGGAUUGCAGUCUGCAACUCGACUGCAUGAAGUUGGAAUCGCUAGUAAUUCGAGAUCAGCAUGCUCGGGUGAAUGCGUUCCCGGGCCUU
rnacentral:rRNA from 1 species